CCUUGCCCUGUAAUAAUCAUUUUACUGACCCAAAAAAGUCCCUCACCUCCACCAGAGAGCAGGGGAGUAGCUAAAAUUCAGGAACACAGAGAUGAUCAGGACAGACAGCUUGAUGAAUUACUUGUUUUGACCCUAAGAUGUUUAUGAGCUGAUCUAGGACAAAGGGGUGGAGGUGAAAAGGACUUCCUGAUGCAAAUGCUCAGCACAGCUGCAUGGAGAGAGCUACAGCAGCAGCAUCUCCACCUUGCAGUGAAGAUGGGUGGAGGAUGAAGGAAUGCUUGGAAAGGAUGUGGGUCUGUAAAGGAGGUUUAAAAGAACAAGGGGAAUCACCAUAUGGGCUGGUUUGUGUGCAAAUGGUGAUGGGGAAGAAAGCCUCGAGAUCUUAUCUGAUACAGAAGAAAAGGGUGGCCCACAAGGAAGGGGUGAAAGUUUUCCAGGAAGGCUGUCUCAAAGUGAAGGAAACAGUCUGGAAGAAACAGUUGAAGUUAUGAAAACAGGGUAAGUGCAAAGGCUGUCAGUGAGUUGGAAGAGUUCAGACCCUGGAGGUGCUGGGUGAAGAAGGGAGCAGGUCUGGGCAUCUCUUAGACAUGAGGAGUAAAAUGAGCAGGCCAUGGUGGCAGGGUGAUGGUGACAGGGAGUUGGGGGGCUUGGAAGGAAAGAUCAGAGGAUCUGGUUUAGCAAUGGAAAGUGCAUAGAUGCAGCAAAUCCUGAAAGGCAGGAUCAGAUGGUGAGCUGUGACUGGUGUCACUGGCAUUAAGACGUUAGCUAAUCCGGUUUAAGGGGAUAAGCCCAAGAAAAACUGUGGAGACCUAAAUUGGAGCUUGUCACUCUCCCAUGGAAAGCAGAAGUGUGGAGGAGGAGGAGGAUUUGCUGAAAGAGCCCCUGGAUGGUUGGUCAGAAACAGAGGGUGAAUGGAGGAUGGCUGUGAAGAUGAAGGGUCAGGAGAUACCAGGUGGGAAGGAACAGGAAGGGCAGGAGUCACAAAAAGCAGAGAAACCCAGGAGCCUUGUGGUGUGCACAGUCUCUCCAAUAACUGACCUGAAGCCCAUCCUGAUGGUGAAGCUGGCAAGGUAGCAGGGAAUCUGCAGAAACCCAGUGAUUUUGGUCUGGGGAGCUUAAACGAUGCAUAUCAAAGCCAGGAUGUAAAUUGUGUAAGUGUGAUGUAGGUCUGGCACUAAAGUGAUAAGAGUCAUAUCAAGGGAAUAACUUAAUUAACUGGUCUUGAUCAAAGAACUGUAUGAAUUCAAUAGCCCAGUUUUCAGUGCUAAAUGAUGAAGUUUAGAAAAACUGUACUUGACACAAUUAUCAAUUUUCCUGUCCGAGGAGCUUUGAAGUGCCAUUAAGAAGGGACAGUCUAUUGUUCUGUUUAGGGGCAACUUUCUCCUUCCCUCCAAUGAUCAGGAGGCAGAGGGGCCCUCUCUCCUUUUCAAGUGCUCAUUUGAAAUAGUGUGAAGCAUAAUAAACACUGGAUGUCAAGGGGAAUAGUACUGUGGAUUUCACAAAUUAAUUGUUUCAGAUGAUGUAAAUUGGGAACAAAGAGCUGCCCUUUCCCUGCCAUCCUAAAAAAAAAAAAAACAAAAAACAAUCAAUCAAAAAACCACCAAAAACCCAACUAUAAAAUAUCUUUAUUUCUCUAUAGCUUUCAUUUUGCUCAGAUUUUUGGAUGGUAAGUGGUCCCAUUUAAGUUCCAUCAGUCCUGAUCAGUCCUUCCACCCAGUCCCUCUGACAGGCCAUGCUGUUCAAACAAGAUGCUGGAUAUGAGGAAUGAGUCAGGCUGUUGAAAGGCAUCUGAAAGUCUUUGAAAUUCUGAAUGCCAUCUCUGUCUAUCCAAUUUGGAUGUGUCUAUAUGUACCAGUGUUGGUGUCUAUCUCACGAGUUGUGUUCCUGAGCUCAGUGACUCUUUGGGACAAAGAGAGAGGGAAGUGUCUGGCCAGGAUGAACCCCAGUGUCCAGAUUCAGGUGCUUUGUCCUGCUGAGCAUCCUCCUGGUGAUGGGUUCCUCAGCUCUGCCUCACACAGACCUCAACCAGGGAUUGCAGAGAGGCAUCUGCACAUUUGGAUGUGCCUUCUGGAAAAGGAUGUCUAAACUUUGUCAGUGACAGUGAUGGGAGUAAAGCCCUACUGCUUCCAGCUACUUCUACCUGUGAGCAGACUUCCCUGCCCUUCUCCAUUCUCUGGGCACUGUGUCCUUCCCACUGGACUUCCCUCUGCAGAACACAGAUGGACUCUGAAAUGAGGCGACUCCUCCUCCUGAGCAGAGGGAGGCAAUGAUUUCCAAAGCAAGCCCAAAUUCCUCUUGCUUGGGUCUUCCCCAGAACAAGACGAGCAAUGGCAGUGGGAUGAUUCCCUCUCCGAGCCACACCACUGGUUUUACUCCAGGAGGUGGAAGGAAGCUGGGUGCUGGUAGCCAGGAGGCAAAGCUGCAGCUGGCCAUGCCGGCUCCGAACAGCGAGGGCAAUUAGAGAUCACAAGAGCUGGGGUGGCUUCGUCACAUUUCCCUGCUGCUGUUCU